rnacentral:rRNA from 1 species
AUACUGCAAGUCGAGCGGACGGAUGGGAGCUUGCUCCCUGAAGUCAGCGGCGGACGGGUGAGUAACACGUGGGCAACCUGCCUGUAAGACUGGGAUAACUUCGGGAAACCGGAGCUAAUACCGGAUAAUGCAUUUCCCCUCAUGGGGAUAUGCUGAAAGAUGGUUUCGGCUAUCACUUACAGAUGGGCCCGCGGCGCAUUAGCUAGUUGGUGAGGUAACGGCUCACCAAGGCAACGAUGCGUAGCCGACCUGAGAGGGUGAUCGGCCACACUGGGACUGAGACACGGCCCAGACUCCUACGGGAGGCAGCAGUAGGGAAUCUUCCGCAAUGGACGAAAGUCUGACGGAGCAACGCCGCGUGAGUGAUGAAGGUUUUCGGAUCGUAAAACUCUGUUGUCAGGGAAGAACAAGUGCCGGAGUAACUGCCGGCACCUUGACGGUACCUGACCAGAAAGCCACGGCUAACUACGUGCCAGCAGCCGCGGUAAUACGUAGGUGGCAAGCGUUGUCCGGAAUUAUUGGGCGUAAAGCGCGCGCAGGCGGUCUCUUAAGUCUGAUGUGAAAGCCCACGGCUCAACCGUGGAGGGUCAUUGGAAA